rnacentral:lncRNA from 1 species
CCGCAGCACCAGCACCAGCACCAGCACCAGCCGGUAAUAAUUACAAAAAGAAGCGCAGAGGAGCUAUACAAAUUCUCCAGGUGGCCGCCUUUAUGCUCCGACGACGCCGUUCAUCUGACAAAUUCAAAUCCAAAUCAAUUCCGGCCUCCAUCGAAGCAGAAGCAGUGGCUUCUUCAAAAAGCACGUGGAAGCGCCUCGUAGGGUCCAUCCGUCCCUUGCACCUCCAAAGCGGCAGCAGUAACCCAUCGACGCCGUCGGCCUCCUCCGCUAGGAGCACGCAUGAACGUACUUCUUCAAUUGAACGAUACGAAGACGUGCUCCUACCACCCAUAUCUCCGGCGCGGACUGACGACCUCUCCUCCGAAGAUGGAAUGUCCAGCCGAUACGCCUCUGCUGUCAGUCUCCAAGAGCUGGACCGGACGGAAGAUGAC